GAACGGGGGUACGCAAAGCACAGAGAGCAGUAGAAUAGUAGCUAGUCAUUAGUUAUUAGUAGUUAGUAGAGGGGAACGGAAGAGGUUGUCUGCUAAUUACUCAAAACUAUAUUCCGGCUAUGAAUGAAUUAGUAACCAGGUAUUCUUAUACAAGUGAAAAAGCAAUAGUUAGCUGUGUAUAAGAUACUGGUAAUUAGUAGCUAGUAGAGGAAAGGAAAAGCGAAGUGAAGCCAAAGCCAAAGCCAAAGCUGAAGCCAAAGCCAAAGCCAAAGCCAAAGCCAAAGCCAAAGCCAAAGCUGAAGCCAAAGCCAAAGCUGAAGCUGAAGCUGAAGCGUAUAUCUACUAAUAACUAACAACUAUAUUCUAACUACUACUUUGUGUGCUUUGCGUAGCCUAGUGGCGAACGGGUGAGUAACGCGUGAGCAAUCUGCCUUUUUGAGGGGGAUAACGUCGGGAAACUGACGCUAAUACCGCAUAAAGCAGUUGGAGGACAUCCUUCGAUUGCCAAAGGAGCAAUCCGCAGAAAGAUGAGCUCGCGUCUGAUUAGCUAGUUGGUGAGGUAAUGGCUCACCAAGGCGACGAUCAGUAGCCGGACUGAGAGGUCGAACGGCCACAUUGGGACUGAGACACGGCCCAGACUCCUACGGGAGGCAGCAGUGGGGAAUAUUGCGCAAUGGGGGAAACCCUGACGCAGCAACGCCGCGUGAAGGAAGAAGGCCUUCGGGUUGUAAACUUUUGUCUUCAGGGAAGAAACAAAUGACGGUACCUGAAAAGGAAGCCUCGGCUAACUACGUGCCAGCAGCCGCGGUAAUACGUAGGUGGCAAGCGUUGUCCGGGAUUACUGGGUGUAAAGGGUGCGUAGGCGGGUGAUCAAGUCAGGUGUGAAAUGCCGCAGCUUAACUGCGGAGCUGCACUUGAAACUGAACAUCUUGAGUGGAGUAGAGGCAAGCGGAAUUCCCAGUGUAGCGGUGAAAUGCGUAGAUAUUGGGAGGAACACCAGUGGCGAAGGCGGCUUGCUGGGCUCUAACUGACGCUGAGGCACGAAAGUGUGGGGAGCAAACAGGAUUAGAUACCCUGGUAGUCCACACUGUAAACGAUGGAUACUAGGUGUGGGGGGUAUUGACCCCCUCCGUGCCGGAGUUAACACAAUAAGUAUCCCACCUGGGGAGUACGGCCGCAAGGUUGAAACUCAAAGGAAUUGACGGGGGCCCGCACAAGCAGUGGAGUAUGUGGUUUAAUUCGAAGCAACGCGAAGAACCUUACCAAAUCUUGACAUCCAUCUAACGAAGUGGAAACACAUCAGGUGCCCUUCGGGGAAAGAUGAGACAGGUGGUGCAUGGUUGUCGUCAGCUCGUGUCGUGAGAUGUUGGGUUAAGUCCCGCAACGAGCGCAACCCUUAUGUUUAGUUGCUACGCAAGAGCACUCUAGACAGACUGCCGUUGACAAAACGGAGGAAGGUGGGGACGACGUCAAAUCAUCAUGCCCCUUAUGAUUUGGGCUACACACGUACUACAAUGGCGUUUAACAGAGGGAAGCAAAGCCGCGAGGCAGAGCAAAUCCCCAAAAGGCGUCUCAGUUCAGAUUGCAGGCUGCAACUCGCCUGCAUGAAGUCGGAAUUGCUAGUAAUCGCAGAUCAGCAUGCUGCGGUGAAUACGUUCCCGGGC
rnacentral:rRNA from 1 species